CUGUAUAUGUGUAUGUGUCACACCGCACACACACAUACAGACACAGACAUAAACACAGACAGACAUGCAUACAGAGACGCAGACACACACAUACAGACUGUAUGUGUGUGUGUCUCUGUAUGUGUGUGUAUGUGUCUGUGUAUAUAUAUGUCGGGGGUGCGUGUGUGUAUGUAUGUGUCUGUCGGGGGUGCGUGUGAGUAUGUAUGUGUCUGUCGGGGGGUGUAUGUGUGUGUGUCUGUAUGUAUCUGUCUGUGUGUAUGUAUGUGUGUGUCUGUAUGUAUGUGUGUGCAUCUAUGUAUG